rnacentral:rRNA from 1 species
AUGGGGAAUCUUCCGCAAUGGACGAAAGUCUGACGGAGCAACGCCGCGUGAGAGAUGAAGGUCUUCGGAUUGUAAAGCUCUGUUAAUCGGGACGAAAGAGCCUAGUGUGAAUAAUGCUAGGAAGUGACGGUACCGGAAUAGAAAGCCACGGCUAACUACGUGCCAGCAGCCGCGGUAAUACGUAGGUGGCAAGCGUUUUCCGGAAUUAUUGGGCGUAAAGCGCGCGCAGGCGGAUCUGCCAGUCUGUCUUAAAAGUUCGGGGCUUAACCCCGUGAUGGGAUGGAAACUACAGAUCUAGAGUAUCGGAGAGGAAAGUGGAAUUCCUAGUGUAGCGGUGAAAUGCGUAGAUAUUAGGAAGAACACCAGUGGCGAAGGCGACUUUCUGGACGAAAACUGACGCUGAGGCGCGAAAGCCAGGGGAGCGAACGGGAUUAGAUACCCGUGUAGUCC